UACGAGGGGGGCGAGCGUUGUUCGGAAUUAUUGGGCGUAAAGGGUGCGUAGGCGGUUCGGUAAGUUUCGUGUGAAAUCUUCGGGCUCAACUCGAAGCCUGCACGAGAUACUGCCGGGCUUGAGUGUGGGAGAGGUGAGUGGAAUUUCCGGUGUAGCGGUGAAAUGCGUAGAUAUCAGGAGGAACACCUGCGGUGUAGACGGCUUUCUGGACCAUUGUUGACGCUGAGACACGAAAGCGUGGGUAGCAAACAGG
rnacentral:rRNA from 1 species